CGGGGCGUAGCUCAGCCUGGUAGAGCGCUCGCUUUGGGAGCGAGAAGUCGCAGGUUCGAAUCCUGUCGCCCCGA
rnacentral:tRNA from 1 species